GACGAACGCUGGCGGCGUGCUUAACACAUGCAAGUCGAGCGGUAAGGCCCUUCGGGUACACGAGCGGCGAACGGGUGAGUAACACGUGGGUGACCUGCCCUUAGCUCUGGGAUAAGCCUGGGAAACUGGGUCUAAUACCGGAUAUGACCUCAUGACGCAUGUUGUGGGGUGGAAAGCCUUGUGCGGCUAGGGAUGGGCCCGCGGCCUAUCAGCUUGUUGGUGGGGUGAUGGCCACCAAGGCGACGACGGGUAGCCGGCCUGAGAGGGCGACCGGCCACACUGGGACUGAGACACGGCCCAGACUCCUACGGGAGGGCAGCAGUGGGGAAUCUUGCGCAAUGGGCGAAAGCCUGACGCAGCGACGCCGCGUGAGGGAUGACGGCCUGG
rnacentral:rRNA from 1 species